CAUGUAGUAAAACUAUCUAUUAGUUGAGGAUCGACAUCUUCAUCAAUGGGACUUGUGAAUGGGUGCUUUAUGUAAAAAAAUUUUGGACCAAAAAACGUGCUGCCUUCAGUACUGUGGAAUGGCGUGAAUGGUGAUCGUGCCUGUUUUCCAGGUAACCUUGUUCUUCCUUGAUGAAGAGGGGUUGAAUCAACUUGAAUUGGGUCA
rnacentral:lncRNA from 1 species